rnacentral:rRNA from 1 species
AGAGUUGAUCCUUGGCUCAGGAAGUCGUAACAAGGUAACCCCUAGAGUUUGAUCCUGGCUCAGAACGAACGCUGGCGGCGUGGAUAAGACAUGCAAGUCGAACGGGAGAAUUGCUAGCUUGCUAAUAAUUCUCUAGUGGCGCACGGGUGAGUAACACGUGAGUAACCUGCCCCCAAGAGUGGGAUAGCCCCGGGAAACUGGGAUUAAUACCGCAUAAAAUCGCAAGAUUAAAGCAGCAAUGCGCUUGGGGAUGGGCUCGCGUCCUAUUAGUUAGUUGGUGAGGUAACGGCUCACCAAGGCGAUGACGGGUAGCCGGUCUGAGAGGAUGUCCGGCCACACUGGAACUGAGACACGGUCCAGACUCCUACGGGAGGCAGCAGUGGGGAAUAUUGCACAAUGGGCGCAAGCCUGAUGCAGCCAUGCCGCGUGUAUGAAGAAGGCCUUCGGGUUGUAAAGUACUUUCAGCGGGGAGGAAGGGAGUAAAGUUAAUACCUUUGCUCAUUGACGUUACCCGCAGAAGAAGCACCGGCUAACUCCGUGCCAGCAGCCGCGGUAAUACGGAGGGUGCAAGCGUUAAUCGGAAUUACUUGGGCGUAAAGCGCACGCAGGCG